rnacentral:lncRNA from 1 species
CAUCUUGAUCCUUUAUGAUGAAUCCUCUCUCUUUACUAUAGUAGAAGCUUGAUUUAAUGGAACUUAACUUUCAUGAAUUUGGUUCUUGAUGGAGAAUAAAUUCCUCCCUUACUCUUAUUUCUCUUCUUCUUAUUUUUAUAACAAAGGAAGAAAUAAACUUGCACAUCUCAAGAAGAACCAAAAAGAGGCUUUUGCACAUCUAAAGCAAAAUGUUAGCU